ensembl:rRNA 5S_rRNA 5S ribosomal RNA
AUCUACAGCCAUACCAUCCUGAAUGCUCCUAAUCUCAGAAACUAAGCAGGAUCAGGCCUGGUUAGUACUUGGAUGGGAGACUAAAAUGGAAUUUUACCCAAGUGCCUUUAAUC